GGAUAUUUAGAGUUUGUGUUCAAGACAAAGAAAACAGUGUUUGGUUUGAUGCUGGCUUUCAACUUGACGAUGCAGAGGAAAAUCUUUGCAGCCAAAGUAAAAAGUGAGUUACCGUACAUUACAACAAAUUUGAACAUAGAACAACACUUUACAUCUCAAUGUACAGAUAAGGGAGUAUGCUGUGAUGACAAAGGGGACAUUUGUUGCAUGCGCGAGAAACGCGAGCGUUGAGAGCAGUGCGCUUAUAUAUAGGGUGG